rnacentral:rRNA from 1 species
UAAGGAAUAUUGGUCAAUGGGCGCAAGCCUGAACCAGCCAUGCCGCGUGCAGGAAGACGGCCCUAUGGGUUGUAAACUGCUUUUGUACCGGAAUAAACCUUCCCUUGCGAGGGGAGCUGAACGUACGGUAAGAAUAAGGAUCGGCUAACUCCGUGCCAGCAGCCGCGGUAAUACGGAGGAUCCGAGCGUUAUCCGGAUUUAUUGGGUUUAAAGGGUGCGUAGGCGGCUUUUUAAGUCAGGGGUGAAAACUUGCGGCUCAACCGUAAGCCUGCCUUUGAUACUGAAGAGCUUGAAUACACUUGAGGUAGGCGGAAUGUGACAAGUAGCGGUGAAAUGCAUAGAUAUGUCACAGAACACCAAUUGCGAAGGCAGCUUACUAAAGUGUGAUUGACGCUGAGGC